CAUGCAGUCGAGCGGAAGGCCACUUCGGUGGUACUCGAGCGGCGAACGGGUGAGUAACACGUGAGUAAUCUGCCCCUGGCUUUGGGAUAGCCACCGGAAACGGUGAUUAAUACCGGAUACGACCACUUCUCGCAUGGGAUGGUGGUGGAAAGUUUUUCGGCCAGGGAUGUGCUCGCGGCCUAUCAGCUUGAUGGUGAGGUAAUGGCUCACCAUGGCUUCGACGGGUAGCCGGCCUGAGAGGGUGACCGGUCACACUGGGACUGAGACACGGCCCAGACUCCUACGGGAGGCAGCAGUGGGGAAUAUUGGACAAUGGGCGGAAGCCUGAUCCAGCAACGCCGCGUGAGGGAUGACGGCCUUCGGGUUGUAAACCUCUUUCAGCAGGGACGAAGCGCGAGUGACGGUACCUGCAGAAGAAGCACCGGCCAACUACGUGCCAGCAGCCGCGGUAAUACGUAGGGUGCGAGCGUUGUCCGGAAUUAUUGGGCGUAAAGGGCUCGUAGGCGGUUUGUCGCGUCGGGAGUGAAAACCAGGUGCUUAACACCUGGCUUGCUUUCGAUACGGGCAGACUAGAGGUAUUCAGGGGAGAACGGAAUUCCUGGUGUAGCGGUGAAAUGCGCAGAUAUCAGGAGGAACACCGGUGGCGAAGGCGGUUCUCUGGGAAUGACCUGACGCUGAGGAGCGAAAGUGUGGGGAGCGAACAGGAUUAGAUACCCUGGUAGUCCACACCGUAAACGUUGGGCGCUAGGUGUGGGGGUCCAUUCCACGGAUUCCGUGCCGCAGCUAACGCAUUAAGCGCCCCGCCUGGGGAGUACGGCCGCAAGGCUAAAACUCAAAGGAAUUGACGGGGGCCC
rnacentral:rRNA from 1 species